CAUUAAAACAUAAUUACAAUUCGUUUGGGUUUUUAUUAUAUAUGGGCUUCAUGUUUUACGUAUAACCCCAAUUAUAUUUCCUUCUUCCGUCUGCGUUAAGACGACGUCACCGUCGCGUCGAUCCAAGUACAGGCCACCGCCUCUUACCAGAAAAGGUGUAACGUUCUAGGCUUUCAUUCAAUCUCCGUGAUUUACGUUCCCAAUCACCUUCAUUAACUCCCAUUCAGUAGCACCUUCACCCUCCUCGAUGGUUACAAAACUUAUCCUAUAAAUAAGGAGGUAAGCUUCUCCUAAAUUCACCAAUCAUCACCUCUCACCCUCAAUCAUCAUAAUACUUUGCUUAAGUAUGAAGAUUUCUUCAUGGAGAUUCUGAUAUCGCUAUGGAGUUUCGAGCUGUUGAUACACUUUGUGAAUCUUCAAUCCCGACGUUUUGUCUUCUUUUCUAAUCAACAAAAACUUAUAAGGAGAGCUAUUCAAGACGAAUUGCGAUGAAUCUGAUGAUGAUUCCUUGGAUCGAGAAGUCUUGGUGUCGUUUCAUCUCAUGUUCUUCUCCCCAGAACCCUUACGCAAUGAAAUGAUUGUCUUUCACUAACGACCCAUCUUAUGCACACACACAAAAAAAAAAUCUCUACUCUGUUUGAUGUUGGCUAUCUGAGUCAGACUUUGCUUAAUAGUUUGAUGUAUGAUUAAUGAGAAAGCCAGGGUCUGCUUCCCAAGAUAGAAGAGGCGGGUUUGAUUACAGAAAAGAUGAAAUUAACCAGACACAUGAAAAGGUGAUUAGAGCUUCAGAGACACUUGACUCAUGCAACUUGAUAGGAAAGCUUGGAGAUUGGGACUAGCAGAAGAGGUAACAGCAGGCUCUCAUGACGUCUCUGAUGCUGUGGAAACAUGACCAAAGAUACAAGAUAUCUUUCAGAUCCACACAAAGCCCGAUCGCAAACAUGAUAUGUUUUCACGAUCGGAGGCACUGCUAUAUCUUGGCGUUCUCAGAAACAAACGCUCGUGGCUACUUCUUCAAAUCAUGCUGAGAUCAUUGCACUCCAUGAAGCUAGUAGAGAAUGUGUAUGGCUAAGAUCAAUAAGCCGACACAUCUGUUCAAGCAGUGGGAUUGACGAAAAUAUAGAGCCAACUAUUCUAUAUGAAGAUAAUGCGGCAUGUGUAGCUCAAACAAAGGAAAAAUAUAUCAAAAAGAAUAUAUCAAAAGCGAUAGAACGAAACAUAUUCAUCCGAAGUUCUUCUCAUACACCCAAGAGCUCGAGAAAAAGAAAGAGAUUGAAGUAAAAUAUGUCCGAUCAUGCGACAAUGCAGCCGACCUCUUCACAAAAUCACUUCAUACCUCAGUAUUUAGAAAACAUGUCCAUAACAUUAGAAUGCGUCAUCAAAAGGAUUUAUGACUGCUAAUUCGAGGGGGAGUUUACAUGGUUGUACUCUUUUUUAUCUAACUACGGUUUUUUCCAUUGGAUUUUCCUAGAAAUGUUUUUAACGAGGCAACAAAGACGUUAAACAAGAAAGAAUAGUGACA